CAGUGUCCCCAGGUCUCCCAGUGUUCCCUAGUAUCUCAGUGUCCCCAGGUCUCUCAAUGUCCCCCAGUGUCCUAGUGACAUGGGGACACUGGGAGACCUGAGGACACUGAGAUACUAGGGAACACUGGGAGACCUGGGGACACU